UUGCAGCUUUCUGAACGUCUGAGGCUUAAAAAGGACAAGACGUUCCUCAGGGUCUGUUUGCCAUAGUGCAGUCUGCCUUCUGUGUAUGCUUUCGACCACAUUGUCUGGGUCUUUAUCUUUUCAGGAUAGCUCUAUUACCCUAAGGUACAUAUUUUUCCAAACAUUAUAAGAUGCCUGGUGUGAUAACACUAGAGGGAGAGAAAUCCAUGCGUGUGAGCCAGAUGUGGUGUGUUUUGAGCACUUACGGCAGGAUCGCAUUGGCUGUUUGGAAGUCCUACAUCUGCAGUGCUCGCUAGGCCAUACUUACCCGUAAUGCAGGGUUUUAAGGUCACUACCGGUUAUUAUCUGGCUGGUAAUGACCACAGAACUAUACAUUAUUGCUAUUAGGAGCCAUUUUGGUCCUAUUUUCAGUUUUCCUUUUUUUUUUUUUUUAUUGAGUAGCUGCUGACACCCAGGCUCUUGGAGGUUGGAUUACAGUAGCUCGGAGUCUUGGUCACUCUCUGCAUGCUGUUUUGGGGAGGAGUUGUGUACAGCUGCCGCUUUGUGCAUACUGUCUAGGAGACUCUUGAGGACUUGAAGUGUUCCUUUAAUAUUUAAAUGGCACUUGUGACUUUGAACCCCGAGAAGCUGAGUUUUCCAGACCCAUUUAAAUGGGAAACUGAGAUUGAAGAGUUAGAUUUGCUGGUUUUCUUACCUGUGGGUUGUUGUUGUUGCUGUUGUUGUUGUUGAACAAUUAGUAAUAAGGCUCAAGGGAAUCCCAGUGUCAGGGAUAUAUAUUGCAGAAUUAGGAAGCAUCUCACCGGGAGUUCUCCUUUCUAAGAGUUGACCUGAGGAUGGACCUUGAGUUAAUCCCCUGUGAGCAUUUCCUUGCCUUGUAAUUGUAGAUUAUUGUAUGAUUAUGAUGCAUAUGCUCCUGAGACUAUGGGAGAGCUGGGGUGUGAAUCAGUAAGGCCUUAAAUUUUGAAACAUGCAA
rnacentral:lncRNA from 1 species